CAGUUCACCAGAUUCCAUGUCGUGCUGCCAUGAACAGUGUGGAAUGGAAUCCGAAACACAACUUGCUUGCCUAUGCUGGGGAUGAUAAGAACAAGUAUCAGGCUGAUGAAGGUGUGUUUAGCAUAUUUGGCUUUGAGAGUGCAUAAAGUCCUGAAAGAUCACUUUUUAUCAAAAAAAGAUCCUUAAAAGGUCUUUGUAUAAUGUAAGGAGAAGAGAGUAAAAUAUCUAUAACAUUCCGCACAUGGUAAUUGAGACUCGAGUAGUAUUGUACUUCAUUUUUGAUAAAUUAUGUACAGAUUAUGAAAGAGACGUUAGAACUCGGGUACUGUUUCAGCAUUACUAAUAGAGCUGUAUUUCCCUGCAAACUUAAAAAGUGCUGGCUCUCGAAACUUUAGGUCUUUGCUCUUGAACUCUUGCAAUGGGCAGAGCAGUGAGCCUGGUAUUCCAAGCACUGGGAUUAUAAGUUUCAGCGGAAUAGAGACGCUAUUAGAAGAUACUGAUGUCAUUUGCAGCAUGACCAGAUGGAGGUGAAGAAUAUUUUGUGUAGGUCCAUGGGCAGCACCUUGAAGGGAGCCUUGGAUCAGUGGUAAAGUUGUCUACGUCUGACCUCAUUCGAGCUGUGGAAUCAACAAUGAGCUGUGUAGGUUCCGCUGGUCUGGUAGACCCUGCGUGAACAGGAUGCUUCAUGUACUGAGCCGCCUUUAUCUUCCGCUGGCUAGCCUUGCUCCAUCUACUGUGACUCGAACCAGAAGCCAAUUCCUUCUUGCCAUGUCUUGCAAAAGGGUUCUUCUUUCAGCCAGUUUGGGACUUCUCAAAUAUGCAGAAACCUUGCUGUUGCUAGGGAGUGGGGAGUAUGCAUCUAUAUAUCCCCUGAAAAAGUAACAAAAGUAUGAAUGAAAUGAGAUCACAAUGUUCUUAGUGAAGAUCGUAUAACGAGUUGUUUAUUGGUCUGCUAGCUACUACUAAAAAGAAGGUACACGUUAAGGUGAAAACACUGAUCUAACAAUGAAUUACCAUUUUUUUUUU